CCAAGUUUCCUCAAAGCACCUCCCCCCACCCCAUACAAAGUUUGGGGUAUUCAAUAGGAUGUGUUAAUGUAACUAAUUUGGGGUAUGAUUGAAUGGUGAAUGUAACUAGGUGGGUGGUUUAAUGAUAUGUGUUGGGGGAGGUCUGUUUAUGAGUGUUGAGGCUGCUUGUUUUGUUGUUUUUGUGAGGGAAGCUGCUUGUGAUGUUCCAUAUUUGUAGAUAUUCUGCUGGUGGUGUUUGUUUGUGGGGAUGCUGCUUGUAGGAUUGUGUGUGUGUAGAUGGCUGCUUAAUGUGUUGCAUUUAUGACUACUAAUUGUGGUGUUGCUUGUCUCUGAAGAUGCUAAUUGAGGGGUUGUGUUCUUGUGUAGGGUGUCAUGAUUCUGGAACCUAACACGCUAACAGGACACAGAGAGGAAAGAUGCUAUACCGGUCCUUAGAGUGGCCGGGCUAAGCACGCUAAGAAUGGUCAGGAGACAAGCCAAGUAAAGGGAGCCAGAAAACGGGAGAACGUGAAACAAGCCGAG